GAAACGGUCCUUUUCAGGACCAACCUCUGUUAAUGUCUCGGCAUUU
rfam:Acyrthosiphon pisum strain LSR1 Contig1001799, whole genome shotgun sequence.